rnacentral:rRNA from 1 species
GAGUUUGAUCCUGGCUCAGAUUGAACGCUGGCGGCAUGCCUUACACAUGCAAGUCGAACGGCAGCACGGGAGCUUGCUCCUGGUGGCGAGUGGCGAACGGGUGAGUAAUGCAUCGGAACGUAUCCUGGAGUGGGGGAUAACGUAGCGAAAGUUACGCUAAUACCGCAUAUUCUGUGAGCAGGAAAGCGGGGGACCUUCGGGCCUCGCGCUCUUGGAGCGGCCGAUGUCGGAUUAGCUAGUUGGUGAGGUAAAGGCUCACCAAGGCGACGAUCCGUAGCAGGUCUGAGAGGAUGAUCUGCCACACUGGAACUGAGACACGGUCCAGACUCCUACGGGAGGCAGCAGUGGGGAAUUUUGGACAAUGGGGGCAACCCUGAUCCAGCCAUGCCGCGUGAGUGAGAAGGCCUCGG